rnacentral:lncRNA from 1 species
GCUUUGGCCUUAAUGAUCUCGACCCACUUUGUCGCUUUGGCCUUAGUGGGGUAACCGUCGUUGCGGACAUGAAGUCGCUCUUGAUCAGGGUGGACUAUAAACAUGGGUUCUGAUAGUGAACCAGAUCCUGUCGCUUUGGCCAGGAUCCACGCAUUCUGUCGCUUGGGCCAGAAUCAGACUCUGAUAGUGAGUCGCUCCAUUUUGUCGCUUUGGCCUUAAUGGAUGGGAGUUAUUUUGUCGCUUUGGCCUUAAUAACAUCCCUUCAUCUUGUCGCUUUGGCCUUGAUGAUAACACAGAAAGAGUCGCUCCUGAUCAGAGUCGGACUAUAAACACGUAGUUCUACUGGCCUGAAACUAGAUUCUAAUAGUGAAUCAACCCAUCUGAUAGUGCAUGGGUAACGGAGUCAUCGUGUCGCUGUGGCCACUUUGACUCGAUCCCAUCUUGUCGCUUUGGCCUUGAUGCGGAUCACCUUGCUUGGGGGGGGGAUACUGGCGGUACACGGGUG